CAUUCUUCUCUAGAAGUCAAAAGUUAAAAAAAUAAAACUUUGCCUUAGGUGAAAGCCCACAAAUAAAAAAGAAGUAUCUACUCUGACUAACCAAUACACUUACAAAACUAAGAUAGUUAUCAAAAGCUAAUUAAAGUAAUCUUUAUCAACAGAUCAUAACAAGCAGCAAUGUCUACUGGACAACUAAGAAAAUGAUUCAGAAUCCUGAAUCCAGAAAGUUUCUGAAGGCCAACUACUUUAGUUUGUCAUGAAAUUAGAUGCCUUUUUAAAUAUAUUGAUUGACCAGCUUUUUUCAAUCCAAUUAAAUAACAAAAAAUUAACUUUAUCAACCAGAAUAAAUGUGAAAGUUUCAGACUUAGCUUAUGCUAAUCUAAUUAUAAAUUUUGCAACAUAUAAGUUACUAUGAGAAGAACAUCUAAUGUAUAGAUAUAAUAAUGUAUCUGUUAUACAUUGCUAAGUAGUAAUUAUAUUCUCAGCAACUUUGCAAAGCUUAAUAAGUUUCUAGCAUUUUACAAACAUACAUACAUAAAUAUCCCUUAAGUAUAUUCUAUAAUUUUAAUAAAUCACUCUUAAAUUAAAAAUUACUGUUGGGGUCAAUACACAUAUUUAUAUUAUUUCAUAUUAACUUGUAAAAUAAAUAUUAGUCAAAUUGCUCUACUUCAGAAAGCUAAAAUUACAUGCUUUCAUAUAGCUGUAGAACCCUAAAAAUUCAAAAACAUUGUAGUUUGUCUAAAUCAGUAUCAAUGGCAACCUAUUUGAAAGAUAUCCAAUGCCCAUUCCCAAAAAAGGUAUUUCCAUUUAAAGGUUAUUUAAUAAUCCCAGAACACUCAGUUUAAAACAAAACAAAACAAGACCGAAUUGCCAGAUCACCACAGGAUGCAUUAACUUCUAGCUCCACCUGCUGGAGUCACAAAAUAUUUUAAAAAUCCAAUAUGCAAUACUAUGCAGCAAAUAAUUUAUCAUUUGUCCUCAAACAGACCAAAAAAAAAAAAACUUCAUGAAUUUAAGUUAGAAAAUUAAUCAAAUUUCAACCAUAUUCAAUUGUUUCCAAAAUGACAAAACUAAGUUAAAAACAAUACUUUAGUAGAAUUGAAGAUCUAAUCCAAUUGUCAAAGUGACUACACAAUAUUUUAAAAUUCUACUAAAAAAGCAUAAGCGUUAGAGAAGACUACAAGUGUGCUUUCAAACAGUGUGAAAACUUCAGAAUUAGAAUAGCCUCUGCUUAUUUACUUAGAAGAAAACAAUUUUAGCAAUGAGUUGUGAAAACUUUUACCUUAAUAUAACUUUGUCUUAUAAUAAAAAAGCAAUAUAUGUCCAUUGUAUAAAUUUUAUACAAUGUAAAUACCAAAAAAAUUAUAUCAUAUAAUCCUACUACCUUGAGAAAAACAGCUAUAUCCUUUGUAAUUACCCUUCAAGAUAUUUUUCUGUGUACCUAUAUAUACACGUACUUUAUUUUCUUUUUACAAAAGAGGCUAUGUAAAUAUGCUUGUUUCCAAUAUCUUUAUAUAUCAACAAAUGCUCCUCUACAUCAUUGUCUAAAAAGCAUUCUACUGCCUGAGUGGGGCCCGGCCCGUGAGCCGAGGGACACUCUAGGCUGCUGGUGAGGUUCGUCAGCGCCAGGGUUGGGCUGAGGGGCCGCAGUACCAUGAGGCACCAGUAUUUAAGAGAUUAUGGCAUCUGAAACCCACAAUGUUAACAAACAGAACUUUUGUGAUGAUAUUGAGGAUCAUUCCACUGAUUUUCCUAGAAAAAGGAUCUCUAAUUUCACUAAUAAGAACAUAAAGAGGUUAAGAAAUCUCCAAAAUAGUUGGCUGCUUACUAAAUAGAACAGUUGGACAAGCUGUGAAAAGCCCAGAUAAACUGCAUAAGGUGAUCUAUCACAGAAAGAAGGUUCAUGAUCCCUUUCCAAAUCCUUGUUACAGAAAAAAACAGUCCCCUCGAAGUGGGAGCCGUGACAUGGCAAAUAAAGAAAAUGAACUGGCUUGUGCAGGCCACUUGCCUGAAAAAUUACGCCAUGAUAGUGGAACAUACUUGAUUAACUCCAGUGAUUCUAGUUCUUCAUAAACAGAAAGCCCAUCAUCAAAAUAUAUUGGGGUUUUUUUCUGAGGUUUCUCAGGACCAUGAAACAAUGACUCAAGUUUUGUUCAGUAGGAAUUUGAGAUUGAAUGUAGCUUUAACUUUCUGGAGAAAGCUAAGUAUAAGUGAACUUGUAGCUUAUUUGGUGAGGAUAGAAGAUCUUGGAGUUGUGGUAGAUUGCCUUCCUGUGCUCACUAAUAGUUUACAGGAAGAAAAACAAUAUAUCUCACUUGGCUGCUGUGUAGACUUGUUGCCUCUAGUAAAGUCACUACUUAAAAGCAAAUUUGAAGAGUAUGUAAUAGUUGGUUUUAACUGGCUUCAAGCAGUCAUAAAAAGGUGGUGGUCAGAACUAUCAUCCAAAACAGAAAUUAUAAAUGAUUGAAAUAUUCAGAUAUUAAAACAACAAUUAAGUGGAUUAUGGGAACAGGAAAACCAUCUUACUUUGGUUCCAGGAUAUACUGGUAAUAUAGCUAAGGAUAUAGAUGCUUAUUUAUUACAGUUGCACUGAGAGAUUUCAUCUACUAAAGACCACUUGGUUGUUCAAAACAUCCCUGGAUUAUGAUUUACAAAAAAAAAGGUCUCCUCUGAGAACUGUGAACUGUGGAAGAAAUCAAAACCAUUUUUCCUUUUAAAAAGCCACGCAUUGAAACAACUAAUAAAACCCUAACAAUCUACUACUUCACAUUGAAGUGGAAAAAUAUCCAAAAGGAGCAGCUUCAACUUCAAUGAGGUGAAAGUACACUAUGAAGAUUGUUCACCUAUGCUGCAUUUGGGAUUUAUAUGGUUAUUCAGUAACACUGUUUAAGAGCUACUGGAUCUUAAUGCAAUCCUGCACAAGAAUAUAAUUUAUACUAUGUAAAAAAAUAAGACAGGACUUACUACUAGGAACAGCAAAGACCAAUCAUCAUUCACUUUUUUUAAGAUUGUGUUUCAUAAAAAAGCACAUAAAUGUGUGCAGCUAAUUUUCUUAUGUUGAAAAGACUAAAAGUUAAAAACAUCAUAGCAGAAAACAAUAUUAAAAAUUUUUGUCCACACUGACAUACUGUGUAUGCAAAAUGCCUUAAUUAUUAAUAAGCCAAUGUGUUAUGAUACUAAUAUCUGUUUAAAAAAUUAAAACUAACCAU